AAUUUUGGACAAUGGGCGCAAGCCUGAUCCAGCCAUGCCGCGUGAGUGAAGAAGGCCUUCGGGUUGUAAAGCUCUUUCGGACGGAAAGAAAUCGCGCAGGCUAAUACCCUGCGCGGAUGACGGUACCGUCAUAAGAAGCACCGGCUAACUACGUGCCAGCAGCCGCGGUAAUACGUAGGUUGCGAGGGUUAAUCGGAAUUAAUGGGCGUAAAGCGUGGGAAGGCGGUGGAUUAAGCCGGCCGUGAAAUCCCGGGGUUUACCCGGGGACUUGCGUUGGGGAUGGGCCGCCUAGGGUACGGCGGAGGGGGUUGAAUUUCACGUGUAGCAGUGAAAUGCGUAGAGAUGUGGAGGAACACCGAUGGCGAAGGCAGCCCCCUGGGCCGAUACUGACGCUCAUGCACGAAAGCGUGGGUAGCAAACAGG
rnacentral:rRNA from 1 species